AUUGAACGCUGGCGGCAGGCCUAACACAUGCAAGUCGAGCGAGCGGCGGACGGGUGAGUAAUGUCUAGGAAACUGCCUGCUGGAGGGGGAUAAAUACUGGAAAAGGUGGCUAAUACCGCAUACCCUCAGAUGUGCCCAGAUUGGAUUAGCUAGUAGGUGGGGGAACGGCUCACAUAGGCGACGAUCCCUAGCUGGUCUGAGAGGAUGACCAGCCACACUGGAACUGAGACACGGUCCAGACUCCUACGGGAGGCAGCAGUGGGGAAUAUUGCAAAAUGGGCGCAAGCCUGAUGCAGCCAUGCCGCGUGUAUGAAGAAGGCCUUAGGGUUGUAAAGCACUUUCAGCGGGGAGGCGUUACCCGCAGAAGAAGCACCGGCUAACUCCGUGCCAGCCGCCGCGGUAAUUC
rnacentral:rRNA from 1 species